rnacentral:rRNA from 1 species
UACAGAGGGUGCAAGCGUUGUUCGGAAUCAUUGGGCGUAAAGCGCUCGUAGGCGGCUUGCUAAGUCAGGUGUGAAAGCCCAGAGCUCAACUCUGGAAGUGCACUUGAAACUGGUGAGCUUGAAUCCUGGAGAGGGCAGUGGAAUUCCGAGUGUAGAGGUGAAAUUCGUAGAUAUUGGGAAGAACACCGGUGGCGAAGGCGGCAACCUGGUCCUUGACUGACGCUGAGGCGCGAAAGCGUGGGGAGCAAACAGG